rnacentral:lncRNA from 10 species
AGUCCCGCCGAGAGCCGCACUGAAGAGCCCCAGCCUGGCCGUCCCGCGGUUUCCCGCCGCCUCACCAGUCUCGGGCGGGAGGGGCCCCGGCGCUGGCGUGGCCGCGGCUCCCACAACGCAGCCAGGACUGCACUCGGGGCUGCUGGGGCCCGCGUGCGUCCCGGGCGGCUCCACGCGUCGGGGUCGCCCCCGCGCCUCCCACCCCCGGCCUCUCGGGGCCGCCGGCUCGCGCGCCUUCCAGGCGAAGGCCAGAGGCCGCAGUGAGGGGCACCGAGUGGCGGGCUCCUCCGCACCACCCCCGGGCUUUAUAAUAAAAGUCGCCGUUGUUUAAGAGCCAGGAGCGGUGUGCGGAUGCUGAUCAGCCCACCGAAUGCUCACCACUGAGGGGCUGCAGCGGCCAGGUGUGAGGGGAAGAGACUGCAGAGAGGUGACAAGGCCGUCAAAGGAGAGGAGCCACCACUGGGGAGCCUGGUGGCUCAGGAAGGCAGCUGGUGUGGGUGUGGGAGAGUCGGAUCAGAAGGCCAGCACUGCUCAUCAUGGAGCACCUGGGAGAGCAGCAGCGACUCAGCUCCUGGCACCAGGGCAUACCCGAAGUAACCAAUGAAUCCUCUAGGGGGUAUUUAAACUCCCCCAAAUUCUGUAACAGGGCCUUUUGAAUCCUACACUCAGGCCCAUUCCCACACAGUGGAGUGUACUUUCAUUUUCAAUAAAAUCUUCAUUCCUUCCUUGCUUUGUUUGUGUGUCUCUUCCAAUUCUUUGUUCAAGAUGCCAAGAACCUGGACACUCUCCACCUUUAACACAGGGGUUGUUUAAUUUACCUUUUGCCUUAGAAAUAUAAAAAGAUACACAGUAAAGGUGUGUAAAAGGAAAGGCCUCUUUCACCCUUACCCCACCCCCAUCCCUCCCUAAAGGUCCCUGUGAUUAGCUUGGUGUGUGUCCAGCCCUCCCUCUGCAUUUCACACGGAUAUGCGAACAGUGGAUCAGGCUUGGGUUUGUUUCUUCCAAUAAACGGCAUCAUGCGGUAUGUAUUGUUCUUUAAUGUGCUUUUGGAGACGUUUCCAAUCCAGCAAACCCUUUUAUCCAUUUCAUAAUAUUCCGUAGAAUGCAUGCUCCCCAUCUUGAGGGAAGUUUGGGUUGUUUCAUUCUGCUUUGUUAGGACGAAUGCCUGCUUUUGUGCACACAGUUGAGUAUGGG